AAGGACCGGAUGCGAUCCGAAGACAUCGUCAUAGAGCGCCAUCGCCGCCUCAUAGGCGAUCGCCGAGGCGCUGCCCGG
rnacentral:sRNA from 1 species